ACUCCUACGGGAGGCAGCAGUGGGGAAUCUUGCGCAAUGGGCGAAAGCCUGACGCAGCCAUGCCGCGUGAAUGAUGAAGGUCUUAGGAUUGUAAAAUUCUUUCACCGGGGACGAUAAUGACGGUACCCGGAGAAGAAGCCCCGGCUAACUUCGUGCCAGCAGCCGCGGUAAUACGAAGGGGGCUAGCGUUGCUCGGAAUUACUGGGGCGUAAAGGGCGCGUAGGCGGAUCGUUAAGUCAGAGGUGAAAUCCCAGGGCUCAACCCUGGAACUGCCUUUGAUACUGGCGAUCUUGAGUAUGAGAGAGGUAUGUGGAACUCCGAGUGUAGAGGUGAAAUUCGUAGAUAUUCGGAAGAACACCAGUGGCGAAGGCGACAUACUGGCUCAUUACUGACGCUGAGGCGCGAAAGCGUGGGGAGCAAACAGGAUUAGAUACCCUGGUAGGCUACCG
rnacentral:rRNA from 1 species